AAAAGAACUGUCAGGUUGGAACAGUUACUUUGUGGCUCCAGGUGCCUCAUUGGCUCAUCUAAUCUUCCCCAGAGAGGUGGGACAUCUCAUCUGGGCAACAUGUUCUCUGGACUGUCAAAGGCUGUGAACAGCUUAUCCUGUCAAGAACUUAAAAUUUUCAUGUCCUUAAAAUAACAAAUUGGACUGAAGAAAUGUGUUUCAGGCAGUAAGACCUCAAAGGAGGUUCACAUCCUCCUGGAAACUUCUGCAACUGGCUGUACUGAAG
rnacentral:lncRNA from 1 species